CAUUGACACCAUCAGGAUGAGAAGAGUCGCCAGCGCCAAUGGGUGAGCAGCCGCACCCAAGAUGCCACAGACAGCCAUUAAGUAAGGCCAUUCAACCCUAUCAAAGGCUUUCUCUGCACCUAGGAGGGAACAUCUGACAUCUGUGUUUGCUGGAUCAAGAACAGUAGGAGGGAAUCCUCUGGCUGCAAAUAUUUCAGUUCUACAUUUCAUCUGGGAAAGCCGGAAUAAGAGACAUCACCAACUGCUUUUGCCACUGCAAAUAGAUGGAGGUUACUUUAAAUAUUAGACAGCUCCAUGCCAUUUAAGCAGCGUCUUAAUUUUGGGUAUCCAAGUUGGUAU